AGUCAAGUAAUGAAGUGCACAUGGUGGAUGCCUUGGCAGUCAGAGGCGAUGAAAGACGUGACAGCCUGCGAAAAGCGUCGGGGAGGCGGCAAUAUCCUGUGAUCCGGCGAUAUCUGAAUGGGGAAACCCACUUGUCAUAAGACAGGUAUCGUAAAUUUAUUUACGAGGCAAACCGGGAGAAGUGAAACAUCUCAGUAACCCGAGGAAAAGACAUCAAUAGAGAUUCCCCUAGUAGCGGCGAGCGAACGGGGAGGAGCCGACUGAUUAUAAUUUAGAGGAAUGACUUGGAAAGGUCAAUCGUAGAGGGUGAUAAUCCCGUACUCGAAAGGUUAUAAGAAGCAUAUUAAGUAGGGCGGAACACGAGAAAUUCUGUCUGAAGAUGGGGGGACCAUCCUCCAAGGCUAAAUACUCCUGACUGACCGAUAGUGAACCAGUACCGUGAGGGAAAGGCGAAAAGAACCCCUGUGAGGGGAGUGAAAUAGAACCUGAAACCGUGUGCAUACAAGCAGUCGGAGCGGACAUGUUCCGUGACGGCGUACCUUUUGUAUAAUGGGUCAGCGACUUAUAUUCUGUAGCAAGGUUAACCGAAUAGGGGAGCCGUAGGGAAACCGAGUCUUAAUAGGGCGUCUAGUUGCAGGGUAUAGACCCGAAACCGAGUGAUCUAUCCAUGAGCAGGUUGAAAGUGACGUAACAGUUACCGGAGGACCGAACCCACUGUCGUUGAAAAGCCAGGGGAUGACUUGUGGAUAGGGGUGAAAGGCUAAUCAAACUCGGUGAUAGCUGGUUCUCCCCGAAAGCUAUUUAGGUAGCGCCUCGGACGAACACCAUUGGGGGUAGAGCACUGUUUCGGCUAGGGGGUCAUCUCGACUUACCAAACCGAUGCAAACUCCGAAUACCGAUGAGUGAUAUCCGGGAGACAGACGGCGGGUGCUAACGUCCGUCGUCAAGAGGGAAACAACCCAGACCGCCAGCUAAGGCCCCAAAUUCCUAGUUAAGUGGGAAACGAUGUGGGAAGGCACAGACAGCUAGGAGGUUGGCUUAGAAGCAGCCACCCUUUAAAGAAAGCGUAAUAGCUCACUAGUCGAGUCGGCCUGCGCGGAAGAUGUAACGGGGCUCAAACUAGGAGCCGAAGCUGCGGAUUUAAUUGUUUCAAUUAAGUGGUAGGGGAGCAUUGUGUAAGCCUGUGAAGGUGUGUUGUAAAGCAUGCUGGAGGUAUCACAAGAGCGAAUGCUGACGUGAGUAACGACAAAACGGGUGAAAAGCCCGUUCGCCGGAAGACCAAGGGUUCCAGUCCAACGUUAAUCGGGGCUGGGUGAGUCGACCCCUAAGGCGAGGCCGAAAGGCGUAGUCGAUGGGAAAUCGGUUAAUAUUCCGAUACUUGUUUAUGAUGCGAUGGAGGGACGGAGAAGGUUAUGCCAGCUUGGCGAUGGUUGUCCAAGUGGAAGGAUGUAGUUAGGUUUAGUAGGCAAAUCCGCUAGACUAUUAAUGAGAUCUGAUAGCAAGCUGUACUUGUACAGCGAAGUGGCAAAUACCCUGCUUCCAGGAAAAGCUUCUAAGCGAUAGUCAUAAAGAAAUCGUACCCGAAACCGACACAGGUGGUCAGGUAGAGAAUACCAAGGCGCUUGAGAGAACUCUGCUGAAGGAACUAGGCAAAAUGGUACCGUAACUUCGGGAGAAGGUACGCUGCCGAUGGUGAGUAGACAUGCUCUACAAAGCUAUUGGCAGUCGCAGAUACCAGGCCGCUGCAACUGUUUAUUAAAAACACAGCACUCUGCAAACACGAAAGUGGACGUAUAGGGUGUGAUGCCUGCCCGGUGCUGGAAGGUUAAUUGAUGGGGUUAGCGUAAGCGAAGCUCUUGAUCGAAGCCCCAGUAAACGGCGGCCGUAACUAUAACGGUCCUAAGGUAGCGAAAUUCCUUGUCGGGUAAGUUCCGACCUGCACGAAUGGCAUAAUGAUGGCGGCGCUGUCUCCAGCAGAGACUCAGUGAAAUCGAAAUCGCAGUGAAGAUGCUGUGUACCCGCGGCUAGACGGAAAGACCCCGUGAACCUUUACUACAGCUUUACAUUGAACUUUGACCUUACCUGUGUAGGAUAGGUGGGAGGCUUUGAAGCAGGCACGCCAGUGUCUGUGGAGCCAUCCUUGAAAUACCACCCUGGUAAUGUUGGGGUUCUAACUCAAGCUUAACAGAGCUGAGGACAAUGUAUGGUGGGUAGUUUGACUGGGGCGGUCUCCUCCUAAAGAGUAACGGAGGAGUACGAAGGUGCGCUCAGAACGGUCGGAAAUCGUUCGAAGAGUAUAAAGGCAAAAGCGCGCUUAACUGCGAGACCCACAAGUCGAGCAGAUACGAAAGUAGGUCUUAGUGAUCCGGUGGUUCUGUAUGGAAGGGCCAUCGCUCAACGGAUAAAAGGUACUCUGGGGAUAACAGGCUGAUACCGCCCAAGAGUUCAUAUCGACGGCGGUGUUUGGCACCUCGAUGUCGGCUCAUCUCAUCCUGGGGCUGAAGCAGGUCCCAAGGGUAUGGCUGUUCGCCAUUUAAAGAGGUACGCGAGCUGGGUUUAGAACGUCGUGAGACAGUUCGGUCCCUAUCUACCGUGGGCGUUGGAAAUUUGAGAGGAUCUGCUCCUAGUACGAGAGGACCAGAGUGGACGAACCUCUGGUGUUUCGGUUGUGACGCCAGUCGCAUUGCCGAGUAGCUAUGUUCGGAUGGGAUAACCGCUGAAAGCAUCUAAGCGGGAAGCCCACCUUAAGAUUAGAUUUCCCUAAAGAGCCGUUGUAGACUACGACGUUGAUAGGUUGGGUGUGGAAGCAUAGUGAUAUGUGUAGCUAACCAAUACUAAUUGCUCGUUUGGCUUGACUAU
rfam:Glycine soja cultivar W05 scaffold13197_1, whole genome shotgun sequence.